rnacentral:rRNA from 1 species
UACACUCCUGCGGGAGGCAGCAGUGGGGAAUAUUGCACAAUGGGCGCAAGCCUGAUGCAGCCAUGCCGCGUGUAUGAAGAAGGCCUUCGGGUUGUAAAGUACUUUCAGCGGGGAGGAAGGCGAUAAGGUUAAUAACCUUGUCGAUUGACGUUACCCGCAGAAGAAGCACCGGCUAACUCCGUGCCAGCAGCCGCGGUAAUACGGAGGGUGCAAGCGUUAAUCGGAAUUACUGGGCGUAAAGCGCACGCAGGCGGUCUGUCAAGUCGGAUGUGAAAUCCCCGGGCUCAACCUGGGAACUGCAUUCGAAACUGGCAGGCUAGAGUCUUGUAGAGGGGGGUAGAAUUCCAGGUGUAGCGGUGAAAUGCGUAGAGAUCUGGAGGAAUACCGGUGGCGAAGGCGGCCCCCUGGACAAAGACUGACGCUCAGGUGCGAAAGCGUGGGGAGCAAACAGGAUUAGAAACCCCUGUAGUCCCA